rnacentral:lncRNA from 1 species
AAAACAUUUGUGACAAAGGAGGAGGAGGAGGGGAUAUCUCAGGGACUCCAAACAACUCAGCCGAAUAGCUCACAGAAUGCUAACAGUGAGAGGGAGGAGGGUCAUCGGGACUGGAAGUGAACACCAAGAUGGGAGUAUGUCUUGGGUGAAAUAAAAAGAAAUCUGGAUGCUGACUGAAUGAAAAUGAUGCGGAAUCUUCAGCUGGAUUUAAAAUGGUUCUAUUUUGAGAUCUGCAGCCAGCUCUCCUCUUGGACUACAUUCACCUACUGCAAUAACAGAGAUCCAGUCAAGAGGGGCAUUUUGGAAACACUGAGCAGUAGAUCAAGAAGAAAGAUGGUGACUUCCAAAUGUAUUAUGUGAAUAAAUUUUGUGAGUACCCACAGGUUUUAAUUUGAUUUUGCUUACUAUGUUCCAGCUGGCUGAAUAGCUCA